CACGUAGGGUGCGAGCGUUUUCCGGAAUUAUUGGGCGUAAAGAGCUCGUAGGCGGUCUGUCGCGUCUGCUGUGAAACUCAGGGCUUAACCCUGAGCUUGCAGUGGGUACGGGCAGACUAGAGUGGCGGUAGGGGAGACUGGAAUUCCUGGUGUAGCGGUGAAAUGCGCAGAUAUCAGGAGGAACACCGGUGGGCCGAAGGCUGGGGUCUCUGGGCCGUAACUGACG
rnacentral:rRNA from 1 species